rnacentral:lncRNA from 1 species
UUUUUUUUUUUUUUUUUUUUUUUUUUUUUGUCUUUUUGCCUUUUCUAGGGCCGCACCCUCGGCAUAUCAAGGUUCGCAGACUAGGGCUCGAAUCGGAGCUGUAGCUGCCAGCCUACACCACAGCCACAGCAAUGCAGGAUCCAAGCCAGGUCUGCAACCUACACCACAGCUCAUGGAAAUGCCAGAUCGCCAACCCACUGAGCGAGGCCAGGGAUUGAACCCAUAACCUUAUGGUUCCUAGUUGGAUUCGUUAACCAACGAGCCAUGAUGGGAACUCCUGAAUGACUCCUUUUGUAUUUCUGGCAGAGUAAUGCGCUGGCAAUGAGUUUUUUAGAUUUUUGUUUACCUAGAAAUACCUUAAUUCACCUUUAUUUUGAAGGAUAGUUUUUUGAACAUAGAAUUUUUGGUUGGCAGUCUUUCCCUCUCAGCACUUUGAAUAUGUUUUCUUCCGAGAUUUGUAGUAGAAACUAAAUUUGUAAUUUUGCAUGUUUAUGUACACUUGUCCCAACACCAUUUGCUGAAAAAACAAUUCUUUUCCCACUGCUGUGUCUUGUUUGGCUGCUGUUUAAUUUUUAUAAUUUUAUUUAUAUCAAAGUAAUUAAUACAUAUUCAUAGUUUAAAAGUCAAAUACACAUAAUUUAUACAUUUCUUGAUUUACCACUUUUAGAUGUUAUCUAUUGGCAUCCUUUCUAAAUAAAUUCAGCAUUUAAAUUUAUUAGGUGCAUCUAAUCACACACACAAACAUCCUUUUUUUUUCUGUUAUAUAAUAUAUAGAAUGUGUGGGUGUGGUGUGAUGUGGUGUGUGUCUAUGGUGUUAUAUACAUAUCCCAAUUCAUUUUUAGUUAAAUCAGUAUUCACUAUUUAUAUGUUUAUGGCUAUUUAAAAUUUAUUUGCAAUUGAACCAUUUUUGUUACAAUACACAUAAUUUUGUUCUUUUGUAACUUUUUGGACUUGGAGGUAAACAUUGUGUUUCUCUGCUUAUAUUUUCUAUACACAAAACAGGCAUUUACCCUGACUUCUCUGAAAUAUAAGCAACUUUUCUUCAAGAUGGCUAGAACAGAUUAAAUAUGUUUGUUUACUUAUUAUUUAUUCAUUGUUUAGAUAUCAAAAAUUUCCAGAGAAAUUACACUCAUGUCUUAAAAAGUGUCUUAUUAGUCCUGUCCUGUGAGUCUUAUCUUGUAAUUUAUUCCUUUUCUCCUGGGAUGCAUCCCCUCUUUCCUAGACCCCAGAUUAUAUUAUUUCUUCAUUUUAUCACUUAACGUUGGUGAGGUGCAUUCUUUAGUACCUCCUGAAGUCAGAGUACAUGGAAGGCUAAUAUCUAUAGUUCUUGUCUUCUGAAAAAUUCUGAAGUCAGUGCUCACAUUUGACUGAUAAUUGACUAUGUAAAUUGUAAGUUAAAAUUUAUCUUCUAUCAGAAAUGUGAAAUCUUUGCUCUAGAUUCUAUGCAUCAUAUUCCAGGCAUCUAAUGUUAGAUGCCAUUCUGACCUCUGAUUUGCUGGGUGAAACUUGUUUCUCUACAUGAAAAUUUUAAUCUCCAGCUUUAGUGAUUUUAUGAUUUAAUAUUGUCACUUUCCAGUCAUUGCGAUGGACAUUCAUUGCCAUUUUCAUCUGGAAAACCAUGUCUGCAAAUAUCACGAUUUUUGUAAAAUUAUUUUUUGGGUAAUUUCUUCCACUUGCCCCUCUUUUCUUGUGAAAAUUCCUACUUUGGAAUACUGAUGCUUUGGAUGGAUCUUCUAAUUUACUUGUAUCUUUAAUCCAAAUUUUUUCCCCCUUUUAUGGCUAUACCUGUGGCAUAUGUAAGUUCCUGAGCCAGGGGUCAAAUCAGAGCUGCAGCUGGGCUCUAUGCCACAGCCAUGACAACACUGGAUCCAGGUACAUUUGUGCCCUAUGUCUCAGCAGCACCAAAUCCUUAACCCACUAAGCAAGUCCAGGGAUCAAGUCUACAUCCUUUCAGAGACAAUGUCAGGUCUUUAACCCACUGAGCCACAAUGGGAACUCCUUCAAUCCACUUUUAAGUUUCAUUUUCUUUCUGUUCAACUCCAGUUAAGAUUUCCUUAAAUUUACCAUUUAAAUUUUCCAUUGAUUUUUCUUCUAUCAAAUUUUAAUUCAUUAACACACACAACAAAUUAUGAGAGUGCUUGUUUUAUGAAGCAUAAAUCCUAUUUUAAUUUCAUGGCAUCAUAUUUUCCCCCAAUGUCUCUGAAUGUAUUAGUUUUUUUAUUUUUAGGUUACUUCUUGAAUUAUCACAAUUUUCACUGAAUGAUUUGUUUGUUUUGGUUUGGUCUCUGUCUUUCAUGUUUGAAAUUUUCCUCAAGAAUCUGGUAC